UACAGAGGGUGCGAGCGUUAAUCGGAAUUACUGGGCGUAAAGGGUGUGUAGGUGGUUGAAUAAGUUAGGUGUGAAAUCCCCGGGCUUAACCUGGGAACUGCAUUUGUGACUGGCGGGCUAGAGUAUGGCAGAGGGGGGGUAGAAUUCCACGUGUAGCAGUGAAAUGCGUAGAUAUCAUUUGGAACGCCGACGGUGAAAACAGCUCGCUGGGAGUGUCCUGACGCUGAGACGCGAAAGCCAGGGGAGCGAACGGG
rnacentral:rRNA from 1 species